rnacentral:rRNA from 1 species
UACGAAGGGUGCAAGCGUUACUCGGAAUUACUGGGUUUAAAGGGUGCGUAGGUGGGUUGGUAAGUCAGUGGUGAAAUACUUUCGCUUAACGAAGGAACUGCCAUUGAUACUACCAGUCUUGAAUACAGUGGAGGUAGGCGGAAUGCGUCAUGUAGCGGUGAAAUGCUUAGAUAUGACGCAGAACACCAAUUGCGAAGGCAGCUUGCUACACUGUUAUUGACACUGAGGCACGAAAGCGUGGGGAUCAAACAGG